UCGGAAGGAUUCUGGUAUUUGACAGUGGCGAACGGGUGAGUAACGCGUGGGUAACCUGCCUUUAACUGGGGGAUAACACCGGGAAACUGGUGCUAAUACCGCAUAGUUGAUACCAUGGCAUCAUGGAAUCAGGAAAGGAGUAAUCCGGUUUAAGAUGGACCCGCGUCCAAUUAGCUAGUUGGUGAGGUAACGGCCCACCAAGGCGACGAUUGGUAGCCGAACUGAGAGGUUGAUCGGCCACAUUGGGACUGAGACACGGCCCAAACUCC
rnacentral:rRNA from 1 species